GACGAACGCUGGCGGCGCGCCUAACACAUGCAAGUCGAACGGAGCAUUUGAGCUUGCUUAAAUGCUUAGUGGCGAACGGGUGAGUAACACGUGAGCAAUCUACCUUCGAGUGGGGGACAACAGUUGGAAACGACUGCUAAUACCGCAUAAGACCACAAUCCCGCAUGGGAUAGCGGUCAAAGAUUUAUCGGUUUGGGGUGAGUUCGCGUCUGAUUAGCUAGUUGGUGAGGUAACGGCCCACCAAGGCGACGAUCAGUAGCCGAUCUGAGAGGAUGACCGGCCACAUUGGAACUGAGACACGGUCCAAACUCCUACGGGAGGCAGCAGUGGGGAAUAUUGGGCAAUGGGCGCAAGCCUGACCCAGCAACGCCGCGUGAAGGAAGAAGGCUUUCGGGUUGUAAACUUCUUUUAUAAGGGACGAAACAAU
rnacentral:rRNA from 1 species